rnacentral:lncRNA from 1 species
GCUCUCCUUUUCAGGGAACAGGGCUUGAGAAGCAAGGACUUAAAAGAUGGGUAGGACUUAAAAAGGGCACUUCAGUUGCAAAUGAAGGUCUAUCUGCCGGAACACUGGCCAUUCCACAGGACAGGUGACCACAAGAUCACUUUACAGCUUGGGAAUCGACAACCUACCAGACCACGUGGUCUCCAGCUCUCCAGAUCCAGCCACACUCACGGCCAACUGCUGCUUUAAAGUGUCCCUUCUUAUUUCUGUGGGUAUGUUACUGGGUCUUUCGGGUCACUCACCCACUAGACCACCUCCCCCUCCAGAGGGGUCCCCUGCCCCCCUAGAAAUUUGGUGGCUUGACAGUGCAGUGUGCUUUUUAGACAACUAGUUAAAACAGGAACAAGAACCCCCACAAGACACCCAUCUUCUGACUACUCAUGGAUAGAGAAGUUCAGCUUAUGCACAAAAGAAUCACACCAAUGAAGUUUUUCAACCUUUAUUAAUAUGUCAUCUAUUUUUAAAAAUAGUGAGACUGCUCCAAACAACAGAUGCAUGAGAGAUACCUGAAAAUUAAAAGGGCAAAGUAAUUACACUAGAUUCCUGUGAAAAUACAAACACAAACCAGUUUAGGACAAAUUCAAUCAAGAGGUAUAGUAUAGUUUGAAGCUACUUCCACUUCCCCUAACUUCAUCUGAAGAAAAAGGAGGAAAACGGAAAGGCAGAAGUAAAAGUCAAGCAAAGACGCCGCAGGGAUUUGAACCCUGUCCUGGAAGCCAGGAGUGCCAACCACCAGCAUCUUUUGCUUUUUUUUUUAAAGCUAGGUAAAGGCCAAAAAGCAAAACCUGAGAAAACAAAGUAUUUUGUUUUCUCAGGAAAAGAAAAACCUUUAAAUUUUAAGACCCUACUGAAGAGCACUGGAGAAUCUGCUUCAGCUAAGAUGCUAGCUUGGCCAAGUCUGUUAUGUUCACCUGAAAAAGUCUUAGCAGAGAGUUUUUGCAUUCCCACCCAACAGCCCUCAACUGCUAAAAUGCCUAUCUCCUUCAGUUUGUUUUCAGCACUGGACAGAAAUAAUGCUACACAUUUAAAACAUCUGAGAGCUUUUUAGUUAAAACGUUUCCACUUGCCAGUUAAACUUCUUGAAGUCUGUUGUUCGUUUGGAACUUAUUUCUUGUCACUGAUUUUAAAGUUGCAUCUGGAAAAGACUAAAGGCUUCAGUGCCCUCCCCACCCCCCCUACCAGAAGUGAACAAAAAGCAUUUUACCUAAAGCACAGCAAAAAGGACUGCUUCAAUCACAAACAUGAAUGCUUAAAGCUGCAGAAAUUUCCUCAACACUCAGCCUUUUAUCACUCAGUGGAUUUUCCUUCAACAAUCACUACUCCAAGCAUUGGGGGAAACAUAACUUUUAAUCAUACUCCAGUCGUUUCACAAUGCAUUCUAAUAGCAGCAGGUCAGAACAGUACUGCAUUAUUACUUGCCAACAGAACAGACAGACCUGAGGUCAA